rnacentral:lncRNA from 1 species
UUUGGCUGAACUAUGUUGUUGUUUUUGGAACUUGUAUGUGUUUGUUUUAAAACCUAAAACGGAUGAACUUGUAUGUGUGUGUGUUUUAAAACCUAAAACUUGUAUGUGUGUGUGUUUUAAAACCUAAAACUUGUAUGUGUGUGUGUUUUAAAACCUAAAACUUGUAUGUGUGUGUGUUUUAAAACCUAAAACUUGUAUGUGUGUGUGUUUUAAAACCUAAAUCCAAACUUGGUGGUUGAACAGGUUGCAAUUACAGGUGGGAAGUAAAACAACAUUACAGCAUCAACUAUGCCAAAAAAUAUGAAAGUAGUAUAACUAGAAAAACUAGUACACCUAGUGUUAAAUUAAAAAGUGUAGGACUUAUCUGGGAAUCCACUUAUUUGAAACUCAUUAUGCA